CGCCGCGUGAGUGAUGAAGGUUUUCGGAUCGUAAAGCUCUGUUGUUAGGGAAGAACAAGUACCGUUCGAAUAGGGCGGUACCUUGACGGUACCUAACCAGAAAGCCACGGCUAACUACGUGCCAGCAGCCGCGGUAAUACGUAGGUGGCAAGCGUUGUCCGGAAUUAUUGGGCGUAAAGGGCUCGCAGGCGGUUUCUUAAGUCUGAUGUGAAAGCCCCCGGCUCAACCGGGGAGGGUCAUUGGAAACUGGGGAACUUGAGUGCAGAAGAGGAGAGUGGAAUUCCACGUGUAGCGGUGAAAUGCGUAGAGAUGUGGAGGAACACCAGUGGCGAAGGCGACUCUCUGGUCUGUAACUGACGCUGAGGAGCGAAAGCGUGGGGAGCGAACAGGAUUAGAUACCCUGGUAGUCCACGCCGUAAACGAUGAGUGCUAAGUGUUAGGGGGUUUCCGCCCCUUAGUGCUGCAGCUAACGCAUUAAGCACUCCGCCUGGGGAGUACGGUCGCAAGACUGAAACUCAAAGGAAUUGACGGGGGCCCGCACAAGCGGUGGAGCAUGUGGUUUAAUUCGAAGCAACGCGAAGAACCUUACCAGGUCUUGACAUCCUCUGACAAUCCUAGAGAUAGGACGUCCCCUUCGGGGGCAGAGUGACAGGUGGUGCAUGGUUGUCGUCAGCUCGUGUCGUGAGAUGUUGGGUUAAGUCCCGCAACGAGCGCAACCCUUGAUCUUAGUUGCCAGCAUUCAGUUGGGCACUCUAAGGUGACUGCCGGUGACAAACCGGAGGAAGGUGGGGAUGACGUCAAAUCAUCAUGCCCCUUAUGACCUGGGCUACACACGUGCUACAAUGGACAGAACAAAGGGCAGCGAAACCGCGAGGUUAAGCCAAUCCCACAAAUCUGUUCUCAGUUCGGAUCGCAGUCUGCAACUCGACUGCGUGAAGCUGGAAUCGCUAGUAAUCGCG
rnacentral:rRNA from 1 species